rnacentral:rRNA from 1 species
GAUGAACGCUGGCGGCGUGCCUAAUACAUGCAAGUCGAGCGAACGGACGAGAAGCUUGCUUCUCUGAUGUUAGCGGCGGACGGGUGAGUAACACGUGGAUAACCUACCUAUAAGACUGGGAUAACUUCGGGAAACCGGAGCUAAUACCGGAUAAUAUUUUGAACCGCAUGGUUCAAAAGUGAAAGACGGUCUUGCUGUCACUUAUAGAUGGAUCCGCGCUGCAUUAGCUAGUUGGUAAGGUAACGGCUUACCAAGGCAACGAUGCAUAGCCGACCUGAGAGGGUGAUCGGCCAAACUGAACGUGAGCCACGGUCCAGACUCCUACGGGAGGCAGCAGUAGGAAAUCUUCCGAAAUGGGCGAAAGCCUGACGGAGCAACGCCGCGUGAGUGAUGAAGGUCUUCGGAUCGUAAAACUCUGUUAUUAGGGAAGAACAUAUGUGUAAGUAACUGUGCGCAUCUUGACGGUACCUAAUCAGAAAGCCACGGCUAACUACGU